GACGAACGCUGGCGGCGUGCUUAACACAUGCAAGUCGAGCGGUAAGGCCCGUUUCGGGGGUACACGAGCGGCGGAACGGGUGAGUAACACGUGGGUGACCUGCCCUUAGCUCUGGGAUAAGCCUGGGAAACUGGGUCUAAUACCGGAUAUGACUCCAUGACGCAUGUUGUGGGGUGGAAAGCCUUGUGCGGCUAGGGAUGGGCCCGNGGCCUAUCAGCUUGUUGGUGGGGUGAUGGCCUACCAAGGCGACGACGGGUAGCCGGCCUGAGAGGGCGACCGGCCACACUGGGACUGAGACACGGCCCAGACUCCUACGGGAGGCAGCAGUGGGGAAUCUUGCGCAAUGGGCGAAAGCCUGACGCAGCGACGCCGCGUGAGGGAUGACGGCC
rnacentral:rRNA from 1 species